rnacentral:lncRNA from 1 species
UAAAGAAAUUCGUCAGCUAUCGAUUGGCCUAGGUAAGUCUAUUCACAAUCCCAUUCUCGAAACCCUUCACAUCAAAAUUUAUGUCCUGAAACUUAUACAUGCCAUUGACUGGGAAAACUUUUCGCUAUCGAUAUACCAACCUACAUGGAACUAGUUAGGGAGUUUUACAAGACCUUCCAGUUUCACAAACCCACUCAGUUCAACCUCCGAUCCCCAAAUCUAAUUUCCUAGCAACUAUGGGGAUAGGUU